UUUCCGUAGGUGAACCUGCGGAAGGAUCAUUAAACAUCAUCGGGGAGUUGGAUCCAGAUGGUAGGGCUUCGGUCUUGCUUUCUGCCCUUCUCUUACUGAUUAUACCCAUGUCUUUUGCGUACUAUUUGUUUCCUCGGUGGGCUUGCCUGCCGAUAGGACAUCAUUAAACCUUUUGUAAUUGCAGUCAGCGUCAGAAAAACAUAAUAAUUACAACUUUCAACAACGGAUCUCUUGGUUCUG
rnacentral:misc_RNA from 1 species